AAACAUCAUAAACUGAGUCUUUAUUCUAAUUGAAAAUAAAAAUAUUAUUUCUUCUUUUAUCUUGACCAUCAUUCGCCCUGCCUCGCAUCGCCCGAGCCAUCUCCUGAAAAUAAUAUUGUUUUGGGGUGAGUACAAUAAACUCAGUGGGGUGCAUUUAUCCAUAUUAUAAGAAUCACAACAAAAUAUAAGUGCAAUGAAAACUGUCUGCUCUUUCAUAUUGCCCGAAAGCAAUAACUUUCUGUCUCUUAGCCCGAAGGCUAUAUAACUUUCUGUCUCAUAUAGCCCGUAGGCUAUAACUUUCUGUCUCAUAUAACCCGUAGGCUAUAACUUUCUGUCUCAUAUAGC
rnacentral:lncRNA from 1 species